UUAAUAAGACCAAAGUGGUCGCGCAAUUGCUCAAAUGGCUAGCGCUCAUACUACUUCGACAAACGUUUCUGAUAUAAGAUGCCAAAACAAAACAAAAUAUACAAACAAAGAAAAAAUAAGUUGUCCCACAUAUUUAAUUAUUUUAGUAAACAGAACACUUACAGGGUCAAUAACGACUAGCCUGGUUUCCCGAUCUCAUUUCUAUGACUCGAAUGUCUGAAUUGAACGUCUCAUACAUUUCUUAUUUUAACUUUGUGACGAAUAUAAAAGCCUAUUUGUAAAUAAAUAUCUGGAAGCGAAAAUUGAGUGGAGUUUAUUAAAAGGAUAAAAUGAUAUUUUUAGCUAACCUGUUGUAUAAAAGAGCUUACGAGGCAAUAGAUUUUCAUAAUACUAAGAGGAGAACUUGAUUAUCGCUUUCCGAUUAAAAACAAUUUGGACAAAAUUGUUCGGAAAAGAAACCCAUAGUUCCUACUGUGCUGUUCUACAAUAAAUUCACUGUAAGAAUGAGCUCUCGGGGAAACGGUUGGUCUAGCAACAGGUUUAGCGGUGGAUCUGGUGGAGGUUGGGGUGGAAGCUCAUGGGGGAACAGCUACGGCAAUAAAGACCCGGAGGGUACCCAUAAUGCUUCGUGUAUUGCCGGAUCAGGAGGUUGGGGUAACAGUGGACUUAUGAAGAGCUAUUAUGAUGAAAGUUGUUCAGGUUGUAGACAUGACAGAUCUAAAUCUGCGUGGGGUAGUCAACCAUCUAGUGGUAACCCUGCGCUGAAAGUUGCAGCAUUAUUUGGAAUUGGUGUUUUCGCAAAGAAAUCUCUUUGAGACUGAAAACGAAAAAAACAAACAACAACAAUAAAAAACGUUUUUGUUAAACUUCUGGGUCCAAUAUAAUUGUUCUUGUGAUGUAAAUCUGAUAUUCCUACAGCGAUGCUUUAUUCCCACGUAUGACAUUUAUACUCUGCAAGACAGUAAUGCUACAGAUGGAAAGGAAAGGCAAUUACAGAUAUUGUGGACACAAUAAUGGAGAACGAAAGCUGUGCAAUAUACAUGUAACAUAUAUUAUCGGGAGUUGUGCAAUGAGUUGAAUUGUUCAUUUAUAUGAUUCAUGAAGAUGGAUAUUUAUCAGUUUCUUUAUUCUAAAAGUAUUCACUUUUUUGAUAGCACAAUGUUUCAAUGCUAAGGUGACUUUUAUAACAAUUAUAGCUUUGUGAAAAUUUACUGCCUGAUGUUGUAAUAGCUUACAGCUUAUACCCUAUACACGAUGUGGACAUUCUGAAUAUAGAACAUGCUUUAAGUUGUAUUCAGUCUAUUACCUGGAAAAGACCCAAAUCAAACAACAAAGCAGUAAGUAUCUAUUUGCAUACAUUUGCAAAUUAGAAAUAACCUGUUUGGUGGUAAAUGAUAUUUCAUGUUGGUAUCUUGUUUUGGCAUUGAAUACUGCACUGACUAGCGUUUGUUUCAUAGUGCAUAGUAGUAAACACUGAGCAGAUUUUUUUUGCAUAAUGUACCUGAAGCUUUAGUAGUUUUGCCAAGAUGUUCUUAAUCCUAUUUAAUGUUGUUUUAUUUGUAUAUGCUGUUUCCAAUUACCUCAAAACAUCAUUAUCUUUGCACUACUUGGUAACGUUUUUAUUACAAGUGCACCAAUCAGUUAUUAAUUACCACUUCAAGAUUUAGUACAGAUUUAUAGAUCACAAUCAUUAUACUUUUAAAAGGUACAGUGAUUAGUAGAAAUAUCUAACUGACUCUUAUUAAAAGAUCACGUAAUGUUUUUGAAAUAACAAAAUGUCAAAACUUCAUAACAUCAAGAAAUGUGAAAGGGAGGUAAUUAAAAAUGUCAUUUUAUCUCCUACAAACUAUAUGGAUUGGUUAUCAAUAAAGUUCCUUGAGGUAAUAAAGACACUAUUCUUAGAAUUCUACUUUAACAAGAAUUCUAAUGAAAUUUGUCUGUUUAUUGUUAUGUAUCAAUGACAUUUAUUAGUUAUACAUUUUCUUUCUAUCACCACACAAUCAAAUAUCAUUUAUGUUACCUUUUUGUUAAUUUCAUAUUUUCUUGAAAAUCGUUUUCAACUCUAUCGUAACUGAUUGAAAUAAUUAUUUGCCAUUCAUGUAAAUAUGUUGUUAUAUUCACUUUCGUACCUGCGCAGUAUUGUAUACUUGUGAAUCAUUGAUUGGAUGUAUAUUUUGGAAUAAAUAUGAUUAAACUAAAGAAAUUAUACAAAAUAAAAUGAAAGUUUUGCACAUUUUA